CCUACGGGAGCAGCAGUGGGGAAUAUUGGACAAUGGGCGAAAGCCUGAUCCAGCCAUGCCGCGUGUGUGAAGAAGGCCUUCGGGUUGUAAAGCACUUUCAGUGGGGAAGAAAGCCUUGGGGCUAAUACCCUCGAGGAAGGACAUCACCCACAGAAGAAGCACCGGCUAACUCCGUGCCAGCAGCCGCGGUAAUACGGAGGGUGCGAGCGUUAAUCGGAAUUACUGGGCGUAAAGCGCGCGUAGGCGGUCUGAUAAGCCGGUUGUGAAAGCCCCGGGCUCAACCUGGGAACGGCAUCCGGAACUGUCAGGCUAGAGUGCAGGAGAGGAAGGUAGAAUUCCCGGUGUAGCGGUGAAAUGCGUAGAGAUCGGGAGGAAUACCAGUGGCGAAGGCGGCCUUCUGGACUGACACUGACGCUGAGGUGCGAAAGCGUGGGUAGCAAACAGGAUUAGAUACCCCAGUAGUC
rnacentral:rRNA from 1 species